rnacentral:rRNA from 1 species
CAGUCGUACCUUCGGGUAAUCAGCCUUUCGGGUGCGAUUCUGUGGAGCGUGAGGAGUUAAACGCCUUCAUGCCUGCAUAUUCGUGCACUUUGGGUGUACUUGCCCGUGUGGUAGGUUAACAUCAAUUUCGGAUGUCAUAAAAUGGCUGGAGGAAUGUAGCUUCGGUCUCGUACUGAAGUGUUAUAGCCUUUGGUAGAUGUGAUGACCGGGAUUGAGGAUUGCAACGAAUACCUUUUGGGCUACCCGCCUGAUCUCUGAAAGUUGCUCUGGUGCCGAAAGCGUGCUUACGGUUAUCAAAGUCGAUGGUUAAUAGGUUAGAACGGGUUAAA